rnacentral:rRNA from 1 species
UGCCAGCAGCCGCGGUAAUACGGAGGGGGUUAGCGUUGUUCGGAAUUACUGGGCGUAAAGCGCACGUAGGCGGACUGGAAAGUAUGGGGUGAAAUCCCAGGGCUCAACCCUGGAACUGCCUCAUAAACUAUCAGUCUAGAGUUCGAGAGAGGUGAGUGGAAUUCCAAGUGUAGAGGUGAAAUUCGUAGAUAUUUGGAGGAACACCAGUGGCGAAGGCGGCUCACUGGACGACUACUGACGCUGAGACGCGAAAGCGUGGGGAGCAAACAGGAUUAGAUA